CAAUACUGUCUGAACGGUAGCAGCUGACUCUUAAUCAGCGGGUCCUAGGUUCGAGCCCUAGUGCGUCCA
rnacentral:tRNA from 1 species